UCAGUGAGAGGACUAUGCAAAGGGGCUGAAGAACCAGUGACUUAGGUCUUUAAGGGAAGCAUUCAGUAAGUCAAUUCUCCAAGGGCAUGGAGAUAAAACCCCAGCGUCUCCCCAAGAGUAAACCUACUGGCAAGUGAUAAAUCCCCCACUUCCAGGGCGCUGCCCUUACUGUCUGGCGAGGCCACAGACUGCAGGUGGACAGACAUUAAAAACCAUGGUCAGUGUGAGAAUGAACAUGAUGGAUGGUAUGACAAUUAUGCAACUGCUCCUUCCUCUUUUUCUUUUCUUUCACAUAGAUUGCCCUGUGUGUGACUGACUCCAGAAUAAACAGAUUUUUUAAAGAUCAAGUAUUUCUAACAGUAAAAUGGAUUUCCGGUUUGCACACUGGGGGCACAGGUGGAGGGCUCCCUUGGAGGGAACAGUGCCAUUUGCUGAAGCUGUGAUCCACUGGAGCUAAGGCACCCCCUCUUGGCAGGUACCCCUGCUAGUUUGGAAGGUCUGCAGGGGAAAGACA
rnacentral:lncRNA from 1 species